UAUGCUUCAGCUCCUGCCCAAUCACUUAC
rnacentral:piRNA from 1 species